GUCUGGGAUGAAAAUUUCAGGAACUGAAUUUUCGGCUCUCCCUUGACACCAUUUGCGAGUAUGGUCUCGAGGAAACGAUGAUAGUCCGUCGGAAGGGGACGAUAAAUGGCCGACCCGUGUUAAGAGAGAGCCAUAUCUCUUGCACGUUAAAGACACCCUUGUAGAUUUCGAAAAAGAGCAGGCUAAUGCCGCUACAAGGCAGCACUCGCACCCGCAAAGUGG
rnacentral:lncRNA from 1 species